AACAUGAAAAAACCCUAGCUAGGCAUUCCUAAGAGGAACAAACAACAUGAGCCAUUUUCUCCAAGAAACUUAGACCAUCAGACCUUCUUCUCAAAAAUGGAAGAAACGACCAAAAACCCCGUGCCCUGAACGAUCAAGAGACAGCAGUCGCCGCCCCCAGCCGCCGCCCAAACUCUUCAGCACACCAUAACCAGCCAUACACACGACCAUCAGCUGUUAGACCCCUACACCAGCGACCCCUCAUCUCCUGAUACCACCCCCUGCCGCCGUCAGCCAUCUCCCACAUCCACCAGCAACUCGCCGGAAUAACACACACACUAACAGAAGCUCCAAACGGACAAGGGAGGUCGACUGGACUGAUAUGGUCGUUGGAAUAAUAAAGUAUCAAAAAUAUUUUUACUUUCUUUUGAUUCAUAUCAGUUCGGAAAAGAAAUCAAAACAGAAACAGAUUUGGAGUCAUUUUAUUAUCGGAAGUUCAUUGCUUC
rnacentral:lncRNA from 1 species